GGUAGUCGCACGAGCGCACCCUUGUCCUUAGUUGCCAGCAUUUAGUUGGGGACUCUAAAGGGACUGCCCAGGAUAACUCGGAGGAAGGGGGGGAUGACGUCAAAUCAUCAUGCCCCUUUUGCUUAGGGCUACACACGUGCUACAAUGGGGGGUACACAGGGUUGCCAAACCGCGAGGUGGAGCUAAUCCCUUAAAGCCAUUCUCAGUUCGGAUUGUAGGCUGAAACUCGCCUACAUGAAGCUGGAGUUACUAGUAAUCGCAGAUCACAAUGCUGCGGUGAAUACGUUCCCGGGGCUUGUAACAC
rnacentral:rRNA from 1 species